AUUGAACGCUGGCGGCAGGCCUAACACAUGCAAGUCGAACGAGUGGCGGACGGGUGAGUAAUGUCUGGGAAACUGCCUGAUGGAGGGGGAUAACUACUGGAAACGGUAGAUAAUACCGCAUACCUUCACCUGUGCCCAGAUGGGCUUAGCUUGUUGGUGGGGUAACGGCUAACCAAGGCGACGAUCCCUAGCUGGUCUGAGAGGAUGACAAGCCAAACGGGAACUGAGAAACGGUCCAGAAUCCGACGGGAGGCAGCAGUGGGGAAUAUUGCACAAUGGGCGCAAGCCUGAUGCAGCAAUGCCGCGUGUAUGAAGAAGGCCUUCGGGUUGUAAAGUACUUUCAGCGGGGAGGCGUUACCCGCAGAAGAAGCACCGGCUAACUCCGUGCCAGCAGCCGCGGUAAUAC
rnacentral:rRNA from 1 species